rnacentral:rRNA from 1 species
AUCUUUGAACGCAUCUUGCGCCUUUUGGUAUUCCAGAAGGCACACCUGUUUGAGUGUCAUGAAACCCUCUCACAAAAAUAAUUUUAUUAUUAUUCUUUGUGGAUGUUGAGUGCUGCUGUCAUAGCUCACUUUAAAUAUAUAAGUCUUAAUUUGACAAAGAAAAAAAAAAAAGKUGGAUUGACUUGGUGUGUAAUAAUUUUCAUCUCACAUCAAGGAAAGUAGCAAUACUUGCCAUCU